rnacentral:rRNA from 1 species
AGUGAACGCUGGCGGUAGGCCUAACACAUGCAAGUCGAACGGCAGCACAGUAAGAGCUUGCUCUUACGGGUGGCGAGUGGCGGACGGGUGAGGAAUACAUCGGAAUCUACUUUUUCGUGGGGGAUAACGUAGGGAAACUUACGCUAAUACCGCAUACGACCUACGGGUGAAAGCAGGGGAUCUUCGGACCUUGCGCGAUUGAAUGAGCCGAUGUCGGAUUAGCUAGUUGGCGGGGUAAAGGCCCACCAAGGCGACGAUCCGUAGCUGGUCUGAGAGGAUGAUCAGCCACACUGGAACUGAGACACGGUCCAGACUCCUACGGGAGGCAGCAGUGGGGAAUAUUGGACAAUGGGCGCAAGCCUGAUCCAGCCAUACCGCGUGGGUGAAGAAGGCCUUCGGGUUGUAAAGCCCUUUUGUUGGGAAAGAAAAGCAGCAGGUUAAUACCCCGCUGUUCUGACGGUACACAAAGAAUAAGCACCGGCUAACUUCGUG